rnacentral:rRNA from 1 species
GAUGAACGCUGGCGGCGUGCCUAACACAUGCAAGUCGAACGGAGAUUACGGACGGAAGUUUUCGGAUGGAAGCCUGUAAUUCUUAGUGGCGGACGGGUGAGUAACGCGUGGGCAACCUGCCCUAUACAGGGGGAUAGCAGCUGGAAACGGCUGGUAAGACCGCAUAAGUCGGUUAAAUCGCAUGAUUUGAUCGGGAAAUGAGCAAUCAGGUAUAGGAUGGGCCCGCGUCCGAUUAGCCAGUUGGCAGGGUAAAAGCCUACCAAAGCGACGAUCGGUGGCCGGACUGAGAGGUCGGACGGCCACAUUGGGACUGAGACACGGCCCAAACUCCUACGGGAGGCAGCAGUGGGGGAUAUUGCACAAUGGAGGAAACUCUGAUGCAGCGACGCCGCGUGAGUGAAGAAGUAUUUCGGUAUGUAAAGCUCUAUCAGCAGGGAAGAUGAUGACGGUACCUGACGAAGAAGCCCCGGCUAACUACGUG